rnacentral:rRNA from 1 species
UAAACGCUGGCGGCGUGCUUAACACAUGCAAGUCGACGGAGUAUCCUUCGGAAGAUUGAAGAGCUUGCUCGGAGAGAUCUUGGAAUACUUAGUGGCGGACGGGUGAGUAACGCGUGGGUAACCUGCCUCACACAGGGGGAUAACAGUUGGAAACGACUGUUAAUACCGCAUAAGCGCACAGUACCGCAUGGUACAGUGUGAAAAACUCCGGUGGUGUGAGAUGGACCCGCGUCUGAUUAGCUAGUUGGUGAGGUAACGGCCCACCAAGGCGACGAUCAGUAGCCGGCCUGAGAGGGUGUACGGCCACAUUGGGACUGAGACACGGCCCAAACUCCUACGGGAGGCAGCAGUGGGGAAUAUUGGACAAUGGGGGAAACCCUGAUCCAGCGAACCGCCGCGUGAGUGAUGAAGUAUCUCGGUAUGUAAAGCUCUAUCAGCAGGGAAGAUAAUGACGGUACCUGACUAAGAAGCACCGGCUAAAUACGUGCCAGCCGCCGC